CCUACGGGUGGCAGCAGUGAGGAAUAUUGGUCAAUGGACGAGAGUCUGAACCAGCCAAGUAGCGUGAAGGAUGACUGCCCUAUGGGUUGAAAACUUCUUUUAUAUGGGAAUAAAAUGUUCCACGUGUGGGAUUUUGUAUGUACCAAUUGAAUCCGGAUCGGCUAACUCUGUGCCAGCAGCCGCGGUAAUACGGAGGAUCCGAGCGUUAUCCGGAUUGAUUGGGUUUAAAGGGAGCGUAGGUGGAUUGUUAAGUCAGUUGUGAAAGUUUGCGGCUCAACCGUAAAAUUGCAGUUGAAACUGGCAGUCUUGAGUACAGUAGAGGUGGGCGGAAUUCGUGGUGUAGCGGUGAAAUGCUUAGAUAUCACGAAGAACUCCGAUUGCGAAGGCAGCUCACUGGACUGCAACUGACACUGAGGCUCGAAAGUGUGGGUAUCAAACAGGAUUAGAUACCCCGGUAGUC
rnacentral:rRNA from 1 species